CCCGAUUUACAAUUAAGGUAAAACAUUUAAAACUAAUUACUAUUACUAAUCAUAUAAAACGUAGUCAUUGUAUUUUACUUCCUGUUCUUCCGAAUUGGUCACCUUUGAUCUUCCUCCUCUGUUGCAGUUGCUGGUGCUACUGUUAAUUCCUUCUCGAUUGCCUUUGCUGGUCCCUCUGAUUCUUCAUCUUCGAUUCCCUGGUCUUCUUCCUCAGAUUGGUAUGCAAUAUUCUCUGAAUCAAUGUUAUCCUCCAUUGUAGUAUUUAUUUCUAAACUGCUAAUUUGAUCAGUGAUAUCUUUGGUAACUAGUUCAGCAGGCAAUAUCAUACUAUCACAUGCUUCCACUGCGGACGUCCACAGUGGAAGCUCGCUGCAGUUGCCGAAUGGAGGUCCGGAACUGCAGUUCGGGAAUCGCAGUUUCGGAAGAUGCAGGUCGGAAAUCGCAGUUCCGUAAGAUGCAGUUCACGAAUCGCAGUCGCUCGCGAUUCCGUCGUUUCUUGGCUUGAUUUCGCAAAAUCAGUCAUAAAUACGACAUGAAUGUGAUCGCCCACUGCAACCAACUUCAGCUGCGAACGUCCGCAGGUGAAGCUGGCUAUAUAUCAUAAUAAUAAAAUAGACAUUCUUAAAUCUUAUUUUGCUAUUUUACACAUCAAGUUUUCAUUUUCAUUCAACUCAUCUUUAUUCAAUACAUAUAUAUAUAUAAAAGUAGAUGAAAGUUACAACAUGGAUAGGAAACAUAAACAUCUUAUUUCAGAUAACACUCUUCAUAAUAGCAUUCGCAGAAUUCCACAUCAUUAUAAGUACUUUCAUAACAAUCAUUAUAGCAGUUUCCUUCAAUUGGAUAACCUCUUGGACCUAUAUAUAUAAGUAG
rnacentral:lncRNA from 1 species